rnacentral:rRNA from 1 species
UUUGAUCAUGGCUCAGGACGAACGCUGGCGGCGUGCCUAAUACAUGCAAGUCGAGCGCAGGAAAUAAACAGACACCUUCGGGAUAAUGUUUAUGGAAUGAGCGGCGGACGGGUGAGUAACACGUGGGCAACCUGCCUGUAAGAUCGGGAUAACUCGCGGAAACGUGAGCUAAUACCGGAUAACACUUUUCAUCUCAUGGUGAGAAGAUAAAAGACGGUUUCGGCUGUCACUUACAGAUGGGCCCGCGGCGCAUUAGCUAGUUGGUGAGGUAACGGCUCACCAAGGCGACGAUGCGUAGCCGACCUGAGAGGGUGAUCGGCCACACUGGGACUGAGACACGGCCCAGACUCCUACGGGAGGCAGCAGUAGGGAAUCUUCCGCAAUGGACGAAAGUCUGACGGAGCAACGCCGCGUGAGUGAUGAAGGUUUUCGGAUCGUAAAACUCUGUUGUUAGGGAAGAACAAGUUGGGUAGUAACUGACCCAACCUUGACGGUACCUAACCAGAAAGCCACGGCUAACUACGUGCCAGCAGCCGCGGUAAUACGUAGGUGGCAAGCGUUGUCCGGAAUUAUUGGGCGUAAAGCGCUCGCAGGCGGUCUUUUAAGUCUGAUGUGAAAGCCCACGGCUUAACCGUGGAGGGUCAUUGGAAACUGGAGGACUUGAGUACAGAAGAGGAGAGUGGAAUUCCACGUGUAGCGGUGAAAUGCGUAGAGAUGUGGAGGAACACCAGUGGCGAAGGCGACUCUCUGGUCUGU